GACGAACGCUGGCGGCGUGCUUAACACAUGCAAGUCGAACGGAAGGGCCCUGCUUUUGUGUGUUUGUCGAUUGGCGAACGGGGGAGUAAAACGUGUGUAUACCGUCCUUAACUGAGUGAGAACUUCUGGGAACUCGGGCUAUUACCCGAUAUGAUCUCCUGCUGCGUGUUGGUGGUUGGUAAGUGUCGGCGGUUGGGGAUGGACUCGCGGCUUAUCAGCUUGUUUGUGGGGUAGUGGCUUACCAAGGCUUUGACGGGUAGCCGGCCUGAGAGGGUGACCGGCCACAUUGGGACUGAGAUACGGCCCAGACUCCUACGGGAGGCAGCAGUGGGGAAUAUUGCACAAUGGGCGGAAGCCUGAUGCAGCAACGCCGCGUGCGGGAUGACGGCCUUCGGGUUGUAAACCGCUUUCGCCUGUGACGAAGCGUGAGUGACGGUAAUGGGUAAAGAAGCACCGGCUAACUACGUG
rnacentral:rRNA from 1 species